GGAAGCAUGGCUCAAGUGGUAGAGUACUUGCUUGGCAAGCAUGAGACCCUGAGUUCAAAUCCCAGUAUUGCUA
rnacentral:tRNA from 1 species